GCUGAAUCUGGAGGUUUUAGCUCUAGUCAAGUGCCAAAAGAGCCCCAUGUGUGUUCGGAUUUCAAUUCUCCAGUCAGCAUCAGAGUUGGAGGCCUCAAUUUUAAAGAAAGCAAAGCUAUGGUCAUCCUUGCGGACACCCGGUUAGCAAGGCAACAUCGCAGACCUCCUGCCCUGGACACUUACCACCCCGGUCCUGCUGCGGCCGGGUUUAGCCGACCCAGCGAGGAAGGAGGCCGAAAGAGCCAGGUUUUUGCCGAGGGGGAGCGAUGUCUGCGACGCACCGGAAGCGGCUCCGAGGAAGGCCUGUGGGAGUCUCGGAGACGUGUCUGUCUGUGAGGCGCUGGGUGCACUUCCCCAGGGCUCUGGGCUAGGAAGGCAGCGGCGAGGUGCCUCCCCACGUACCCUUCGCGGGCCCAGCCGAGCAGCGUGGGGCGAAGGCGGCGGCGAAGGCCCGGGCUGGGAGCGUUGGCAGCCGGAGUCCCAGCCAUGGCCGUGUCUGUGGAGCGGCUGCAGCAGCGGGUCCAGGAGCUGGAGCGGGAACUUGCCCAGGAGAGGAGUCUGCAGGUCCCGAGGAGCGGCGACGGAGGGGGCGGCCGGGUCCGCAUCGAGAAGAUGAGCUCAGAGGUGGUGGAUUCGAAUCCCUACAGGUAACCUGCGUCGCCGGUCGGAGGCAGGCGCGGGGGACGAGGUCAGGCUCCGUGAGGUCAGAAGCGAGGCGCUUCCCACGUCCCGCUCAUGGGGACGCCCGCCACUCUUUUCUUGGUCUGCGAAUCUUGUUCCCAAAUGGGCAAGGCCACAUCUUAGUACUGAUCGGAAGAUAUUCUUUCUCUUUUUAAAAAACCUCCAGUGAGUCAGCCAUAUGGUGCUGCUCCUGUGCCUGCUGAGGACGUGUGU
rnacentral:sRNA from 1 species